GUUUGGGCAGCAACACCAGCAAAAUGGAAAGUUUUAAGAGUCAUCUGAGUACCAGGCUCACCAAUGGACUGAGCACCAAUGGCACCAACAGCCGUACCAGGCUCUACCUUGGCACGCAUAUACUUUUCCCAACAACGGUCUACAAAUGAGCGUAGCUGCUUCUCAGUCACCCUGAUAAUGUUCUCAACAGAUUUUCUUUUCGCAACGGGUGCAAAUUCAUCCCCUUCCAUGUCAUCCAGGUCAUCCAUGUCUGGUUCUUCAAGCAUGGGGGCGAGGUCACGACGCUCACGAACAGAAGCCAAAUACUUUGCGAUAUUUUCUAUAA